GAAUUCACUAGUGAUUCAGGCCUAACACAUGCAAGUCGAGCGGUUGAGGGUGGCUUGCUACCCGAAGCAGCGGCGAACGGGUGAGUAAUACAUGGGAAUCUGCCUGGUAGUGGGGGACAACGUUUCGAAAGGAACGCUAAUACCGCAUACGCCCUACGGGGGAAAGGGGGGGAUCUUCGGACCUCUCGCUAUCAGAUGAGCCCAUGUCGGAUUAGCUAGUUGGUGGGGUAAAGGCCUACCAAGGCGACGAUCCGUAACUGGUCUGAGAGGAUGAUCAGUCACACUGGAACUGAGACACGGUCCAGACUCCUACGGGAGGCAGCAGUGGGGAAUAUUGGACAAUGGGCGCAAGCCUGAUCCAGCCAUGCCGCGUGUGUGAAGAAGGCCCUAGGGUUGUAAAGCAAUUUGCAGUGGGGAGAAAGGCCUUUUGCCUAAUACGCAAGAGGA
rnacentral:rRNA from 1 species